UGGAAAUAUAAAGUAUUAAAAUAUAUACAUAUGUUUAUUGUGAAAGAUAGAGAGGGUGGGGUUGGAUGUGAAUGCCAAAUCUUAGUACAUACAGACACUCUUCUCUCUCUAAAACACUGUUUGCUCUCUCUCUCUCAAAUCCAGAUUUCAGAAGAACAACUGAGUCUUUAAACAUAUCUUAGAUUGGUUUCAAGCCCUCAUCUUCUUUCUCUCCUGGACAAAUGUUCCCAGAUUUUUAAGGAGUGUUCUUGAUCUGAAACUUAUCUCAUUCACUAGUCCAUCACUGAGACACAAAUGGAAGGGGAUACAUUCUCGGGCCUACGGAACGCUAAUCAAGUAGAUGGCAAGGUAGUCCAGACAUUUCAAAAGAGUUUUGGUCAAGUUCAAAACAUCUUGGAUCAAAACAGGCUCUUAAUCAAUGAGAUUAAUCAGAAUCACGAAUCAAAAGUUCCUGAUAAUUUGAGCCGGAAUGUCGGUUUAAUCAGAGAGCUGAAUAACAACAUAAGGAGGGUGGUUGAUCUGUAUUCCGAUCUUUCCAGCAAUGUUAGCAAAUCUGUGGAUUCAUCCGACGGAGAUUCAAGUGGCGGUUUGAGGUCUGAUAGCAAAGGCACUAACAAACGAAAUAGGCCUGUCUAAAAGCUUUCUGUUGUUAAUGUUGUAACCGGUGGAAGGGAAAUGAUAAAAUGCACAAUUUUCUCGAGGUACUGGGAUAUUAUGUGAUUACAUUGUGCAACAGUUUUCUUCCUUGAUGGACUUUCUAGUCUUUUCUUUAGUAACAUUUCUCACUGAAAUAAUCGCUCUAGUCUGUCCUAUUGCAUAUCUGUAAUAUGGUUCUAAUUGAAAGUCAGUCAUGUUUUUAAAUCAGUUUCAGGCUUCUUUAUGUUCUUUAUAAUGUAUCUGAUGAACAACAAGGACGUAAUUAUCAGAAAAGGUAAUCCAUUAAAUUUCUCCA